AGAGUUUGAUCCUGGCUCAGGAUGAACGCUGGCGGUAUGCCUAACACAUGCAAGUCGAACGAUGUCUUCGGACAUAGUGGCGGACGGGUGAGUAACGCGUGAGAAUCUGCCUCUAGGAUGGGGAUAACGGUUGGAAACGACCGCUAACACCCAAUAUGCCGUAAGGUGAAAAAUUUAUUGCCUGGAGAGGAGCUCGCGUCUGAUUAGCUAGUUGGUGGGGUAAGAGCUCACCAAGGCCUCGAUCAGUAGCUGGUCUGAGAGGAUGAGCAGCCACACUGGGACUGAGACACGGCCCAGACUCCUACGGGAGGCAGCAGUGGGGAAUUUUCCGCAAUGGGCGAAAGCCUGACGGAGCAAUACCGCGUGAGGGAGGAAUGCCUUUGGGUUGUAAACCUCUUUUCUCAGGGAAGAAGAUCUGACGGUACCUGAGGAAUAAGUAUCGGCUAACUCCGUGCCAGCAGCCGCGGUAAUACGGAGGAUGCAAGCGUUAUCCGGAAUCAUUGGGCGUAAAGCGUCCGCAGGUGGUUUCCAAAGUCUGCUGUUAAAGACUGGAGCUCAACUCCGGAACGGCGGUGGAAACUUGGAAACUAGAGUUCGGUAGGGGUAGCAGGAAUUCCCAGUGUAGCGGUGAAAUGCGUAGAUAUUGGGAAGAACAUCGGUGGCGAAGGCGUGCUACUGGACCGUAACUGACACUCAGGGACGAAAGCUAGGGGAGCGAAAGGGAUUAGAUACCCCUGUAGUCCUAGCUGUAAACGAUGGAAACUAGGUGUGGCUUGUAUCGACCCGAGCCGUG
rnacentral:rRNA from 1 species